rnacentral:lncRNA from 1 species
UUUGAAAUAUUAGGUAAAGCCUUUUUGGGUUUAUGUAGUAGAAGUUUGCACAUGGAGAGUGAGAAAAGGGAAAGAAAUUUUUGUUAUGAGACUUAAUACAAGGGUUCUUUACCUGUAGAAAAGUAAAUUUUAAUUUUCUUUUUCUUUUUUUUGUGAAUACUCAGAAAGUUUAUACUAAACCUCUUUACUACAUUCUUGUCCUACCAGAUCAGAAUGGCUGCAACUCAGCCACUGUGGAUAAAAGGCUUUAGCCGCUACUGCCUGUGGGGUCUGUAAUUAGAUGCACCACCAGCAGUACUUUUAACCCUUAAACAAGCUGACCUGGGUGCCAAACACAGACUGCCUUAAGAUCUGAUAGUAACACUGGCAUCUGCCUCUAAAACUCACUUUUGAAGUCCCACAUGCUGCAAGGGAGAAUACAAAAUUA